UGACGGGGUACACUGUGGGGACCGCCGCUGCUAAAGCGGAGGAAGGAAUGGGCAACGGUAGGUCAGUAUGCCCCGAAUAUCCCGGGCUACACGCGAGCUACAAUGGUUGGUACAAUGGGUAUCUACCCCGAAAGGGGACGGGAAUCUCCUAAAACCAAUCUUAGUUCAGAUUGAGGGCUGCAACUCGCCCUCAUGAAGCUGGAAUCCGUAGUAAUCGCGUUUCAACAGAACGCGGUGAAUACGUCCCUGCUCCUU
rnacentral:rRNA from 1 species